AUUUUUUUUCGUCAACCCUCUGUGCAUGUUUGGCUUUAGAUCGAGCGGCGGCGCUCCCGAAGUCCCGAUCCAAUCGGGACAUGUAGGGCGACGGCGGCAGGACUCUGGAAAGUGGGGAACGGCAGUGAAGCGGCGGACGUCGCGGCAAGGCGGAUCAGGUCAGGAUCCAGCGCGGCGGCCGGUGCUCCAUGGCCAUGGCGCCUCGGUCUCGUGGGAAGAAGAGACGUGGGAGAGAGAGGAUGUGAGAUGAGGAGAAGAGAAGGCAGAGUAAGGACGGCGCGGAUUCCGGCGGUGGCUCCGGUCGGCGGAUCCAGGCCAACUCUUGAUGGAUUUCCAAUGUGCUGCUGGCCUCCGAAUUUUUUUUGUCGUGUAGCCGCUCCCCAUCUCAGCGUGUGCUAUCCACGGAAGCCGGCUCCUCCACUCAGGCCCUCCUCUGCAACGCCGACGAGGACGCUACUUCGUCUGAACCGAUCUUCACGACCACGUGCAGGGAUGUAGGAUAAUUGGGUGAACAAGCUUCCUGUGAAACAUCCAGAUCCCGGUGGCGGUGCCUCCGUUCAGCAUCCCACGCGGCGACGUCCUCCGGUAUAAUGGCAAACACCGGCAGGGGAGAGAGCAGAGCGGGAGGGGUAUUGGGUCCAUACCAUUGUGGGCAUUGCCAGUGCCAUGAUUGUGGUUAAUACCCACAGGAGAUUCUAUUCCUGUGAGUGGAUUAAACAGAGUUGAGUAAACAUCAUCCAUAGGAGAUACAUAUGCUAAUUAAGUUUAGAGGAGAAAGUGGUUCUUUAUUCUUGUAAUUUUGGUGCAGAUGUCAUACAGGGGCAGAGAACAAUGGUCUUCUGGGAAUGCCUGUUAACUUUUUGGAGCUGCCAGGGUUUGUAAGAGGAGAUGGAUUUUGGACUACACUAUUUCGGAUGCCACGGAUUUUGUCGGGGAUAUACCCCGCGAUAUAAACCGCCGGAUGUAUGACCCGGCUAGAAUUUGGCGAUUCACUGGCAACCCACUUGGACAUGGCGGUUUAUGGUUCAUUGGUAAUCCGGCAGGCGGGUCAGAGGAGCGACAAGACCCGGUGGCCCAACGGGCGGUUUAUGGAAGGCCGGAUCAUGCUAUGGUGGGCCGGUUUAAGAGAAAAUGCGUGAGGAAUAUUUACUUUACAAGGAAGACCCGGACUUGUAUC